GAUCAUGGCUCAGGAUGAACGCUAGCUACAGGCUUAACACAUGCAAGUCGGAGGGGCAGCAUUUCAGUUUGCUUGCAAACUGGAGAUGGCGACCGGCGCACGGGUGAGUAACACGUGUCCAACCUGCCGAUAACUCGGGGAUAGCCUUUCGAAAGAAAGAUUAAUACCCGAUGGUAUAAUCAGACCGCAUGGUCUUGUUAUUAAAGAAUUUCGGUUAUCGAUGGGGAUGCGUUCCAUUAGG
rnacentral:rRNA from 1 species